CUGCGAAUGGCUCAUUAUAUAAGUUAUCGUUUAUUUGAUAGUACCUUACUACUUGGAUAACCGUGGUAAUUCUAGAGCUAAUACAUGCUGGGGGUCCCGACUUCGGAAGGGAUGUAUUUAUUAGAUUAAAAACCAAUGCCCUUCGGGGCUCACUGGUGAUUCAUGAUAACUCCUCGAAUCGCAUGGCCUUGUGCCGGCGAUGGUUCAUUCAAAUUUCUUCCCUAUCAACUUUCGAUGUUUGGGUAUUGGCCAAACAUGGUUGCAACGGGUAACGGAGGGUUAGGGCUCGACCCCGGAGAAGGAGCCUGAGAAACGGCUACUACAUCCAAGGAAGGCAGCAGGCGCGCAAAUUACCCAAUCCCGACACGGGGAGGUAGUGACAAUAAAUACUGAUACAGGGCUCUUUUGGGUCUUGUAAUUGGAAUGAGUACAAUUUAAAUCCCUUAACGAGGAACAAUUGGAGGGCAAGUCUGGU
rnacentral:rRNA from 1 species